GAUGAACGCUGGCGGCGUGCCUAAUACAUGCAAGUAGAACGCUGAAGGAGGAGCUUGCUCUUCUGGAUGAGUUGCGAACGGGUGAGUAACGCGUAGGGAACCUGCCUGGUAGCGGGGGAUAACUAUUGGAAACGAUAGCUAAUACCGCAUGACAACAGUUAUUGCAUGAUAACUGUUUAAAAGGGGCAACUGCUCCACUACCAGAUGGACCUGCGUUGUAUUAGCUAGUUGGUGAGGUAACGGCUCACCAAGGCGACAAUACAUAGCCGACCUGAGAGGGUGAUCGGCCACACUGGGACUGAGACACGGCCCAGACUCCUACGGGAGGCAGCAGUAGGGAAUCUUCGGCAAUGGACGGAAGUCUGACCGAGCAACGCCGCGUGAGUGAAGAAGGGUUUCGGAUCGUAAAGCUCUGUUGUAAGAGAAGAACGAGUGUGAGAGUGGGAAGUUCACACUGUGACGGUAUCUUACCAGAAAGGGACGGCUAACUACGUG
rnacentral:rRNA from 1 species